rnacentral:rRNA from 1 species
GACGAACGCUGGCGGCGUGCUUUAUACAUGCAAGUCGAACGAUGAAGUUCCUUCGGGAAUGGAUUAGUGGCGAACGGGUGAGGAACACGUGAGGAAUCUGCCCAUCAUUUUGGGAUAACACCGGGAAACCGGUGCUAAUACCGAAUACUCCGUCUUGGCGGCAUCGCCGAGCCGGGAAAGAAUUUCGAUGAUGGAUGAUCUCGCGGCCUAUCAGCUAGUUGGUGAGGUAACGGCUCACCAAGGCAACGAC